UUUUUUUUUUUUUCUCUUUCGUUCGUAAGAAAGUGUGUCGUCUGCUCAAAGCGUAAUAAGUCGAGAUACAUUUUUCACUUUUUUUCUUACUCUUCAUUAACUUGAAUAUUAAUGGAUUAAUUUUACUUCGAACGUUAAUUAAAUACAAAAAAGAAAUGGGAAUACGGUUAAACCUGUACUUCCUUCUUCGGUAUUAUGAAAAAUGAUACGACACGGACAAAAUAUGUACGCUCACUAGUUCUUUAACAAUCGUGUAUUUAUCAUUUUUGAUUAGUGAAAUAAAACACGUGCGAGUGUAUCGGAUUACUUCGUCUUACAUUCGCUUUAAUAAGCUCAAUCGACAAUCGUUACAGCAACGAUAAUAUCUAAACACAGACUUACGAAAACAAUGAAUCGUAUCGUCGUUCUCGGGACUGGCAGCGGUAUAACUGCAAGUACAAAUGCAGAAGAGUUUCCUUUUUGUGUCGCGAAUGGUGUCGCAACGACUCUGCCGAUCGAGCGCCAUACCGAUCAAGCAAUACAGCUCGUCACCACGCGUUCAUAGUGUCGAGUCGACUCAAAGGGUGGAUGGAAAGCAGGCUAGUUGGUGAGAAAGGAGGUGGAACAAUCGGGCAAAUUUCCUCUGAUACUGAUUAUAGCAUGGCAAUAGCAUUGGUUAGAUUUGAAUUCGAGUUCGCAAAGGAUUCCUUGCCACGAUGAGGUGUGCAUAAUUAAAGAAUGCAGAGAUAAAUUUAGAGGUAAAUCGAAUGGAUAUGUAAUUUUUCGUUCAUAAUUUGGUAAGUUAAGAGUGGUAAACAAGUUUUCUUAUUAUUAAAAUGUAAUUUUGAUAUUUUCGCGUGUGUAUAUGCGCGCGCAUCUUUUCGUGCUUAACGCGAUUACGAAGGUUAAUUAAACGCUCUACGAUUAUUAGGUCCAGUUUCCAAACUCAUCAGGCUAAUGGUCGAUGUUAUAAUUAUCGAUGCUUGGACGAAAUGUUAUUUUUGGCAUCGUUCGUGUUGAAUACACCGAGACGACAAAUCAUUUUCGAUCACGAGGAAAUAGUAAAUGUUAAUCGAAUGAAUCCUUAAAGUUUUUCCGAUUUUAAUGGGAGAAUUCAACGAAGUAACAUAAAUGAUCUAAAAAAUAUCAUAG